GCCCUCGUGGAUCAAGGUGAUUUCCCCUAUUCGGUUCACUGCGUCCAGGAAAUAUUUGAUCGCGGGGAGGCGGAGGUUCGAUUCCUCCCGAGGGCU